GGGCGAUUAGCUCAGUUGGUUAGAGUGCUUGCUUGACAUGCAAGAGGUCGCUGGUUCAAGUCCAGUAUCGCCCACCA
rnacentral:tRNA from 1 species